AAGCUUAACAAUUGGGGUCCUGGUAUAAUGCACCUGGAUGCUUCCUUCGAGUUUUUGCCUGCUUGGAAUGAAGGGCCACACGUACAGUUGAUUCAUUUAACAAUUGGGCGAAAGAAUAAAGGAAGACGUAAUGCAUCAGAGGCUGGGGUUAAAAUAGCGUUCGCUACCACUGAGGCGCUUAUUAUGCCAAACUCUGGGCGAACGUCUUGCGGUUCCAGUGUCUUAUUUAUUCGCAUAACCUCUCUGUAGGGCUCUCUGUAG
rnacentral:lncRNA from 10 species